rnacentral:rRNA from 1 species
AUUGAACGCUGGCGGCAUGCUUUACACAUGCAAGUCGAACGGUAACGCGGGGGCAACCCUGGCGACGAGUGGCGAACGGGUGAGUAAUACAUCGGAACGUACCCAGUUGUGGGGGAUAGCUCGGCGAAAGCCGGAUUAAUACCGCAUACGACCUACGGGUGAAAGCGGGGGCUCGCAAGACCUCGCGCUAUUGGAGCGGCCGAUGGCAGAUUAGCUUGUUGGUGAGGUAAGAGCUACCAAGCGACGAUCUGUAGCUGGUCUGAGAGGACGACCAGCCACACUGGGACUGAGACACGGCCCAGACUCCUACGGGAGGCAGGCAGUGGGGAAUUUUGGACAAGUGGGCGAAAGCCUGAUCCAGCAAUGCCGCGUGUGUGAUGAA